UUGCAAUGAUGAAAUUCUUAGGACACCUUUUAAUGUUCCGUGAGAAAAACUUCAGCGUUACCAAUCUGCUGAGCGAA